rnacentral:lncRNA from 1 species
GGCGAGGGGAGGGAAGCGCGCGGGCGCCAAUGAGUUCACUUUCUUUUUCUCCCCCGCGCGCUCCCCCUCGCGCUUCCCGCCCGGCCCCUCCAACCUCCUCCACCGGCCAGAAUCCCGGUUUCUCGGUCCGGGGAGUGGGAGGAUGGAGGAAGCGAGGGAGGAAGGAGAGAAGGAAAAGGUGAACAGGCGAGCAGGGCGCUGUGCCAGGGAGCAGCAUCCAGGACCGUAAUUGUGGGCAAGGGCGGGGGACGUUCUGGGCGAGUGUGCCCGAGACCAGGCGCGUACACNNNNNNNNNNGUGUGUGUGUGUGUGUGUGUGUGUGUGUGUGUGUGUGUGUGUGUGUGUGCGCGUGUAUGUGUAAGAGAGAGGAGCGGAGCCUACCAUGCGCUUCCCUGGUGCGGAUCGCGGGAGAGCCCAAUCACAGGGCGAGCUGGACCUGGCUGUGAUCAUUUAUAAUCCUUGACUCCUCCGCUCCGCCACUUGUCAAGAUGACAGGGGUCAUCCAUGAAUAACACUUCAUGCUGAUGAAUGGCUCUUGCCGGCUUUCGGCUCUGAUGAGGGGUCUGCCGGCCGCUGAUUGCAAACACUAAUGAACUUACAGCGCCAUUUGAAAUUCACACGCACCAACAAAGUGAGGGGAUUAUUAGCAGCACAACACCGCCCCUGCCACACUCCCUUGGCAGUGGGAGCCGAAACAACUUUACCUCCCUAAGGACACUGCCACUUUGUAAGUUUCUGCCAAAACUCUACUCCGGGAAGCUCCAGCCCCGGGCUCCGCCCCCGCCCCCACCCUCACCCCUAGCUGCGGAAAGCCCACCCGGGGAGCCAUUUUUCACUGCCCAAAAGCUCCUGCCCUUUGAGUUUUGGAACUCCAAACUUAGAACCUUUACAGAAUCGCGCUCUGGCUUCCUGCCUCCAGCCACCUCCAGGCUUCUUUCUGUCCGCUGGAGGGAUUGGGUCCAACGCCCUGGAGAGAACCACUGCACCAAUGAGAGUCUAGCUCCUCGAGGAGCGCCCAGGUAUUCCCUGAGACCAGCCUGGAGCUGCCAGAAGCAGUGGAGAGUCCCCAGGCCUGCCCUGAACUACUGCCUGCCGACCGGUCUCAGCCAAGCCCUUGGGUCCCACCUCCAAUGCGAAUUUCAGCACAGAGGACUCCACCAAUCAGUAUCUAACUUGUCCUGGCUGGAAUCGAAGACAUUUGUAUUUUUAACUGCGUUCACAAGAACAAAUCUAUCAGUCAGGCAAACAUAG